rnacentral:rRNA from 1 species
AUUGAACGCUGGCGGCAUGCUUUACACAUGCAAGUCGAACGGGCUUGGGGGCUUGCUCCCAAGUUAGUGGCGAACGGGUGAGUAAUACAUCGGAACGUACCGUGUAGUGGGGGGUAACGUAGCGAAAGUUACGCUAAUACCGCAUACAAUCUACGGAUGAAAGCAGGGGACCUUCGGGCCUUGUGCUAUACGAGCGGCCGAUGUCUGAUUAGCUAGUUGGUGAGGUAAAGGCUCACCAAGGCGACGAUCAGUAGCGAGUCUGAGAGGAUGAUUUGCCACACUGGAACUGGGACACGGUCCAGACUCCUACGGGAGGCAGCAGUGGGGAAUUUUGGACAAUGGGCGCAAGCCUGAUCCAGCCAUGCCGCGUGAGUGAAGAAGGCCU